GGCAGAGGCAGAUGGGAAGAGAAUCCCAAGGAAACGUCGUGCUGUCAGUGCAGAAACCAAAGUGGGGCUCGAUCUCAGGAAUGAUGAGAUCAAGACAAGAGCCCAGAUCAAGAGUCGUGGGCCUAACCCAUGGAAGCAUUGCCUGCAAAUGGCCAAGUUGGCAUACAUCCCAUGAAGAAGCAUUUAUUGCAGAAAAUAUACUACCAGAAAGAAUACCUAGAAUAUUUGAACUAAGUUAAUAGGUAAACACAAAAUUCUGUGUCCAGAGAGGCUCCCUGGAGAAACUGCUGUGUGGACAGGAAGCCCCAGAGCCUGAGAUGAAACCUGCCUGUAACCUCCAUCUUCACCUGCUCCUGGCAACACAAAGCAGAAUUGUGCAUAGUGUGCGCCCCCUGGUGGUUCUGAUCCCCUCCUGCAGGUUGUUCAUCUGCAGAUACACCGUGUUCUUGGAGUUGUCUCUGGAGAUGGUGAAUCGGCCCUUCACGGAGUCUGCGUAGUAUGUGCUACUUCCAUCAUCAUAAAUAUAUGCGAGCCACUGCAGCCUCUUUCCUGGAGCCUGGCGAACCUAGCUCAUUCCAUAUCUACUGAAGGUGAAUCCAGAGGCCACACAGUGUCUGCAAAUGGCCUUGUUGGCAUACAGCCCAUGAAGAAACAUUUAUUCCAGAAAAUACACUGACAGACGGAAAAGCUAGAAUUUUGAGCUAAGGUAUGUGCCUUUCCUUCCCCACCCCAGCUCAGCAAAUGGAAACUCCAAUGCAAGGAGCUGGGACUAUAGGCAUGUGCCACUGAGCCUGGCUGCAACCUCCCCUCCAGACUGUUGCAACCAAUACCAGGGUUCCUGGUGACCAGCUCCUGUUCAGAGGACUCUUUCCCAGAGGGACAGGAUGUCAGUGACCCUAAGCUGUUUGCUGUUGAGGCCAAGCCCCAGCAGGUGCCACUGAGAUGUGGGACUCACUCAUUGUUUGCAGCCCCACUCCCAGGAUGGAAACUCUGCCCUGGGCACAGUCCACUCAGGAUGCUGGGAGCCUGGUCUCCCCAGACCUGACUUGUACAGCAGGGGUCUCAUGCCACUAGGACAAGCAAGCCUCAAAGAAGUGCAGCUGCCACUCACCCCUAAACUGGGCUCUUAUUUUGUCCCCCCUUGCAGCUGCAGAGUUAUGCCCAGGACAGGGGGGAGCUGGAGCAAUCCGCUAAACCAAGGUGCAGAUCUGUUCUGGUACAGCUGACUUCAUUUACAGAUAAGGGUGAGGAAGUUCUGGGCCUCAUGUUGUGGGAGAGUCAGGUGCAGGAGACAGAUGGUUUCAGUGGAGUAUUCCUAACCUACUCCUCCUCACCUGUAGGAUAGAGCCAGAGCCAGGGACAGUGGAGGGAACAGCUCCUGUCAGAACACAUGUGAGAUUAUGGCCUCAACACCUCUCCAUUCAGAGGGGUCCGAGUUUGUAGGGUUUAGUCUGUGGAGAGUUGAAACAUCU